rnacentral:tRNA from 1 species
GGGCGGUUAGCUCAGUUGGUUAGAGCGUCACUUUGACAUAGUGAAGGCCAGAGGUUCGAAUCCUCUACCGCCCA